CACGGAACCUCUUACAAGGCUACUACAAAAGCACGACGUAAAAGUUUGCAACAAGCCAAUGAAAACCCUCCAGCAAGAAUUUCCAUCCGCAAAACACCGACCUUCAUCCGAAAAUCAGACAAACGUGGUUUAUCGUAUACCGUGUCAAAGUUGUCCAUGGAGUUAUAUAGGAGAAACCGGAAGGUCGCUGAAGACAAGAAAAUCGGAACACGUAAGAAAUGUAAAGAAUCACAAGACUGGAUCUAAUGUAGCAAAACAUGCAUGGACUUACGACCACAGGAUUGACUUUGAAAACGCGGAAGUUAUCGAUAAGGGAAAUUUUAGGACCCGAAAAACUCUAGAGUCAUGGCAUACAGCCUUAACAACUG